rnacentral:lncRNA from 1 species
CUUUUGGCUUCGGAGUUAGAAAUUCCGAGUUAGAAAUAAGAUGGGGACAGUGGGCUCUGAGCUUGGUCCUCAUCUCAUUUCUGUCCCUUGCUUUGCCAGGGGAGAGGAAGGUGGGGGCUCCUGAGGACAUUGAAUGAAUGGCCUUGGGUCUCCCAUCUCUGACCUCACCUACACUCCUCUCCACUUAGAAAUAAGAAACAAGGAUUGGGCGUAAGUGUGAAGCCUCUACUUGUUCAUUCAUCUAUCCAUUCAACAAUUACUUACUGUUCUUUUUGCCAGGUCCAUGUGCUACAGAGAUGAGAAAGUCACAAUCCCCAUCUGCAAGAAGUUCACAGUCUACUGGGGAGUAGACGUGCCCCCAAAUCAUUCCUGUAUACCGAGCUACUAGAAACAGAAUUUUCUGAAAGUAACAAGAAGAGGAAGCCUGAGUCUGUGCCGAAGCGUUCAGGGAGCAGAGAUGUAUUGAGAGGUGAUGAGGGAAGGCACAGAGAAUGUGAGGCCAGGCAGGUGAGAAGGGGUUGGGGGAAACCCACUGAUCAAACACACGGAUGGGU